CAAAAGUAUGCAUGCCUAUAGGCCCAGCUACUCAGGCUUGAGGAGGGAGGCUCAUCUGAGCCCAGGAGUUCUGGACUGUAGUGUGCUCUUGCCAAUCAGGUGCCUGCGCUAAGUUCAUCAGUAUGGUGACCUCCUUGGAGCACGGGACUACCAGGUUCCUUAAGGAAAGGGGUGAGCCUACCCAGGCUAGAAAAGGGGCAGGUCAACAGUCCCACGCUAAUCAGUAGUGGGAUUGUGCCUGGGAAGAGCCACCAUACUCCAGCCUAGGCAACAUAGUGAGACAUCGUCUCU
ensembl:misc_RNA Metazoa_SRP Metazoan signal recognition particle RNA